UACAGGGGGAGCAAGCGUUGUUCGGAAUUACUGGGCGUAAAGGGCGCGUAGGCGGCCUUCUAAGUCGAACGUGAAAUCCCUGGGCUCAACCCAGGAACUGCGUCCGAUACUGGAAGGCUUGAAUCCGGGAGAGGGAUGCGGAAUUCCAGGUGUAGCGGUGAAAUGCGUAGAUAUCUGGAGGAACACCGGUGGCGAAGGCGGCAUCCUGGACCGGCAUUGACGCUGAGGCGCGAAAGCCAGGGGAGCAAACGGG
rnacentral:rRNA from 1 species